rnacentral:rRNA from 1 species
UACGGGGGGGCAAGGCGUUGUUCGGAAUUACUGGGCGUAAAGGGCUCGUAGGCGGCCAACUAAGUCAGACGUGAAAUCCCCUCGGCUUAAACCGGGGAACUGCGUCUGAUACUGGAUGGCUUGAGUUUGGGAGAGGGAUGCGGAAUUCCAGGUGUAGCGGUGAAAAUGCGUAGAUAUCCGGAGGAACACCGGUGGCGAAGGCGGCUUCCUGGACCGACAC